rnacentral:siRNA from 1 species
AUAUAUUCUCUUGUGGUGGAUGUA